GCCCCCGUAGCUCAGUUGGUAGAGCAUUCGCCUAUAUAGCGAAAGACCCCCGGUUCAAGCCUGGGUAGAGGCA
rnacentral:tRNA from 1 species